rnacentral:rRNA from 1 species
GGCGACGGGUGAGUAACACGUGAGAAUUUGCCUUUAGGAGGGGGACAACAAUUGGAAACGAAUGCUAAUACCCCAUAUGCUUUCGAGUGAAAUGGAUUUAUAUUUAUCCGCCUAGAGAGAAGCUCGCGGCUGAUUAGCUUGUUGGUAAGGUAAGAGCUUACCAAGGCGACGAUCAGUAUCUGGUUUGAGAGGACGAUCAGACACACUGGAACUGAGACACGGUCCAGACUCCUACGGGAGGCAGCAGUGGGGAAUUUUCCGCAAUGGGCGAAAGCCUGACGGAGCAAUACAGCGUGAGGGAAGACUGCCUAUGGGUUGUAAACCUCUUUUUUCAGGGAGGAAUAAAUGACGUGUACCUGAAGAAUAAGCAUCGGCUAACUCCGUGCCAGCAGCCGCGGUAAGACGGAGGAUGCAAGUGUUAUCCGGAAUCACUGGGCGUAAAGCGUCU